GUCUGCUUGUUUGACACUUUGAACUUUGGAGAGUUGGCACUUUUCAAAGAAGAGUCACUGACAUCGCGACAUUCAGUCCGAGGUCUUGAUGAGGCCCUAUGUAUUGGCAGAUCAACUACUACUCGAUCACACUGAACCAAAAUAGAAGAUGUGCAGCUGCAUGUUGAGGGGCUCCCCAUCCCAGUGCAGACCCCACUGAUUGGGUCACUUCUUCCACGAUCAGAGGCAGACGACAAACCACUACAGUUUGGAUAUUUGCCACAUGCCCAAGAGUACAGACUGAAGAUCUUGGGACCAAGGGUGAGCAAACCAGACUGGUUCACAGGCAUGGAGACUGAGAGACUGGUGAAUGUCUCCAACUGUCGUUGCAAUCCCAUUCCUGAUGCAAAAUCAGAGACCUCGGGCAUGAAUGUAGCCCUGCUGCAGGUAACUUUGCCUUAGCCUAGGCUGGUGGGCAAGGGGAGGCUGAGCUCAGUCCACACAAUGCCCUAACUGGUUUGGCAUGCCUGAGCUGGAGCUGAAAAAGAACACAUCAUACUGCCACCAGCACCCACAACAUCCCCACACCUGGCAAAGGACAAAAAUUUGAGGUCUUGGAAAGAAGUGUCUCCAUCUUUAAUAUCUUGGCAAGGAGGAAUACGACAUUCUUUGGAUUUCCUUUCAUUUUAAUUUUGUUCUUUGUUGUUUACUUUCCCAUUUUUUAACACUUUUAUCCAAUUUUAUUAAAUGUUUUAAUUAUUUAGAU